rfam:Ciona savignyi cont_59877, whole genome shotgun sequence.
AUGCUCGGUGAAAUAGGAUCUGUCAUAAUGGCCAUUGUUAAAAUGUAAUAAUGGCCAUUGUUAAAAUGUAAUAAUGGUAACAUUUCUGUGGCCGUUUACUUAGUAGAGUGUAGAGUGUUCAAAGCAGGAAAAAAGUAGAGUGUUCAAAGCAGGCUCUCAUGCCUGGAUAAUGGUGCAUGGAAUCGUAGAAUAGGACCUCGGUUCUAUUUUGUUGGUUUUUCGAAGCGAGAGGUAAUGAUUAAGAGGGACAGACAGGGGCUUUCGUACUGUGCCGUUAGAGGUGAAAUUCUUGGAUUGGCGCAAGACGAACGACUGCAAAAGCAUUUGCCAACAAUGUUUUCUUCAAUCAAGAGCAAAAGUCAGAGGUUCGAAAUGCUUAUCAUGAACGAUAUAUAUACCGAUCUCUAUAUAACAAAGUCUUAGUGACGAGCCCAUCAUGAGUUUGAAACUUGGCCUGGUAAAAAAAUGGACU